rnacentral:rRNA from 1 species
CGAACGCUGGCGGCGUGCUUAACACAUGCAAGUCGAACGAUGAUGCCCAGCUUGCUGGGUGGAUUAGUGGCGAACGGGUGAGUAACACGUGAGUAACCUGCCCCUGACUCUGGGAUAAGCGUUGGAAACGACGUCUAAUACUGGAUAUGACUGCCGGCCGCAUGGUCUGGUGGUGGAAAGAUUUUUUGGUUGGGGAUGGACUCGCGGCCUAUCAGCUUGUUGGUGAGGUAAUGGCUCACCAAGGCGACGACGGGUAGCCGGCCUGAGAGGGUGACCGGC